rnacentral:rRNA from 1 species
UACAGAGGUCUCAAGCGUUGUUCGGAUUCAUUGGGCGUAAAGGGUGCGUAGGUGGCCGGGUAAGUCUGAUGUGAAAUCUCCGAGCUUAACUCGGAAAUGGCAUUGGAUACUAUUCGGCUCGAGGGUCGGAGGGGAGACUGGAAUUCUCGGUGUAGCAGUGAAAUGCGUAGAUAUCGAGAGGAACACCAGUGGCGAAGGCGAGUCUCUGGACGACUCCUGACACUGAGGCACGAAAGCUAGGGGAGCAAACAGG